rnacentral:rRNA from 1 species
UACGAAGGGGGCUAGCGUUGCUCGGAAUUACUGGGCGUAAAGCGCACGUAGGCGGCUUCUUAAGUCGGUGGUGAAAUCCUGGAGCUCAACUCCAGAACUGCCUUCGAUACUGGGAGCUCGAGUCCGGGAGAGGUGAGUGGAACUGCGAGUGUAGAGGGUGAAAUUCGUAGAUUAUUCGCAAGAACACCAGUGGCGAAGGCGGCUCACUGGCCCGGUACUGACGCUGAGGUGCGAAAGCGUGGGGAGCAAACAGGG